GCUUUUUAAACUAAUUAAAAGAAAGUCAAAGCUCUAGGGUGCUUCUCAUUUCUGAAAUUGAACAUUCUCAUUUCCUUUAGGGGUGGGUAAAAAUAUCUCGAGUCUUAAAUCCCACGAUCGACUUUUACUCUACGUGCACUCCACUUCACUGAGAGUAAAAGUUCGGUUAAACUCGUUCUGUGUGUCCAAAGAUGAGAUCCACAUGAUCCAUUUGACCCUGAAUAAUGUCUCUUUAUAUCCGUUCUGUUCUUUAUCAUCAGUUGUUGAUCAAAAAUCACAACAAAAAAAACAUUUAAUUCUAAUCACGCAUAGCACAGAUGAUAUAAAGUCAUUGAGUCUCUCUCGUUAGCAUUACAGAAGUGCCAUUUUUUAAAAGGUGUACUCAGUCAAUUGUUUGAAAAUGCUGUCUUGGAUUUACACAGACACUGAGGCAUGAAUGCAGUAUCAUUCAAACACAGUUUGUUCUUAUAGUUACAGAUGCCAUUUUUGAAAUUCACUAUUCAUAGUCAGAGGUGGGUAGUAAUGCACCUCAUUUACUCCGUUACAUUUACUUGAGUAACGUUUUGAUAAACAAAUUACUUUCAGAGUAGGUUUAAAAGUGGUUACUUCUUACUCUCACUCAAGUAAAUUUCUAAUGAUUUUUUUUUACUUUUACUUCUUUACAGUGGGCGGGUUACUUUCGUUACAUUACUGGGUUUAAUUUUAGUUAAUGUGUAAUUUAUUGAGAGAUUAUUGAAUGGGACUUUUACGCUGAAGUUCACACAGCUGCGCGCGCUAAAUAAUAGUUUCGUCAUGCAGUGCCUUCAUUUAACUCCAAGACAAGCUGAUAUUUCAAGAUUAAAAUCAUAUCUCCAAUUUAAAGCAGCACGCUGAGUCGACUGAAAACUGUUUGGAAGAAUAAUGUAAUCAAUGAGAAUGCUGCAAAUGAUCUCCAAUCAUCUCGUGAGGUGCUGCGAGUUUUGCUUUAUUUCCACAGAACAGCUCGCUCUAACACAACUCUGCAGUUUGUUGACUGCACACCAACAUGGAGGUAAAAAGCAGGAGCUGAUAUAAAAAAAUAGCUUUACAUAUUAACAUGGAUCUAGUAAUCUGCUUAAAUUGGCAUAAACAACCGACCAAACUAUUACCUCACAAACAUAAUUUAAAAAGCAUUACUUAAUGAAGACUCAUGUGCUGAUAUAAACUCCACUUACAAUGUGUGCUUAAAAGCAGGAUCCUUUCUUUUUUUUUCUGCAAUGCAUUUCAUGUAAUGCUGCAAAUGAAGAAUGA